GACGAACCGUGCGAACGUUGUUCGGAUUCACUGGGCUUAAAGGGCGCGUAGGUGGUCUGUCAAGUCGGGGGUGAAAUCUUUCGGCUCAACCCGGAAAACUGCCUUCGAUACUGACAGGCUAGAGGGAGGUAGGGGUUGCGGGAACUACCAGUGGAGCGGUGAAAUGCGUUGAUAUUGGUAGGAACGCCGGUGGCGAAAGCGCGCAACUGGAUCUCUUCUGACACUGAGUGCGCGAAAGCUAGGGGAGCAAAGCGGGG
rnacentral:rRNA from 1 species